GCAAUCUCCCUGGUCUGAAGUGAGAACGGCCUAUGCUCUCACUCUUUGUUCCCCUCCCCAGGGAAAUCCAGUUACCCACUGGGAGUGAGCUGCCCCCUAACCCCGCAUGACCCUGUUCCCCGGGAGGGGCAGCCUGGGGAGUGACAGGCAUGACCUCGAUGGUGGGCCAGGGGCCUCCUCAGCUCGGUGACGCUGGGGGCCCAGGCUUCCUGGGGGAGACAGACCAGCCUUAAGAAUGCUCAGGAAUUGCUGGGACGUUGGUUCAUUCACUCAUGCAGCAAAUGUACUGGUCCCUGGCACCAGCUGCAGAUGCAGAAGAUGAGCACGUCAUGGCUCCCUCCUGCAAGAGCUGUCAGUUUUUGGAUGGUGGGAAUGUAAGAGACACAUCAGGGAAGCAGGUUUCAUGGAGGAGGUGCUGUUGGGCCAGGUCCUGAAGAGAAGGGCUAGGACUAUGUUAGGCUGAAAGGGAGGAUGACAUUCCCAACAGAGGGAAUAAUAGGAGGAAAAGCACAGAAGACAUAUACAUGUGGUAUGUUUAAUAAAUGUAACAAGCAUCA
rnacentral:lncRNA from 1 species